rnacentral:rRNA from 1 species
CCUACGGGAGGCUGCAGUGGGGAAUAUUGGACAAUGGGGGCAACCCUGAUCCAGCCAUGCCGCGUGUGUGAAGAAGGCCCUCGGGUUGUAAAGCACUUUCAGUGAGGAAGAACGCCUGGUGGUUAAUACCCAUCAGGAAAGACAUCACUCACAGAAGAAGCACCGGCUAACUCCGUGCCAACAGCCGCGGUAAUACGGAGGGUGCGAGCGUUAAUCGGAAUUACUGGGCGUAAAGCGCGCGUAGGUGGCUUGAUAAGCCGGUUGUGAAAGCCCCGGGCUCAACCUGGGAACGGCAUCCGGAACUGUCAAGCUAGAGUGCAGGAGAGGAAGGUAGAAUUCCCGGUGUAGCGGUGAAAUGCGUAGAGAUCGGGAGGAAUACCAGUGGCGAAGGCGGCCUUCUGGACUGACACUGACACUGAGGUGCGAAAGCGUGGGUAGCAAACAGGAUUAGAUACCCUGGUAGUC